GAUGAACGCUGGCGGCGUGCCUAAUACAUGCAAGUCGAACGCAUUGAGAGAAGUGCUUGCACUUUUCAAUUUGAGUGGCGAACGGGUGAGUAACACGUGGGCAACCUACCUGAUAGCGGGGGAUAACGAGUGGAAACAUUCGCUAAUACCGCAUAACAAUAGAGAAGGCAUCUUCUUUAUUUAAAAGGCGCUUUCAAGCGUCACUAUCAGAUGGGCCCGCGGUGCAUUAGUUAGUUGGUGGGGUGAAGGCCUACCAAGACGAUGAUGCAUAGCCGAGUUGAGGGACUGAUCGGCAACAUUGGGACUGAGAAACGGCCCAAACUCCUACGGGAGGCUGCAGUAGGGAAUCUUCCACAAUGGACGAAAGUCUGAUGGAGCAACGCCGCGUGUGUGAUGAAGGCUUUCGGGUCGUAAAGCACUGUUGUAUGGGAAGAAAUGCUAGGCUAGGAAAUGAGCUUAGUUUGACGGUACCAUACCAGAAAGGGACGGCUAAAUACGUGCCAGCCGCCGCGGUAA
rnacentral:rRNA from 1 species